AUGUUCCCUGACUCUCAGCUGCUGCUGUUGGCAGCGGUCUCCUGUGUACAAUGUGGUCUUAAGCUCACCGAGCCAAGUUCAAUUGUUAUAAACUCUGGAGAGUCUUUGGUAAUCACCUGUAAGGUCUCUGGGUAUUCUCUGACUGGUAGCACCAACCUCUAUGGAGUAUCAUGGGUCCAACCUGAAGUCAUUAUACCAGAGUGGGUUGGGAACAUCUAUCACGAUGCAGGCACAGCUUACAAAGAUUCUCUGAAACACAAGUUCAGCUUGACCAGAGACACUUUGAGAGGCACAGUGGCCUUAAUAUGA